UGAUCCUUUAAGCCGGUCCCGCGAGGCCGGUAAGGAGCUACGGUCAGGGUAUGCCCGUGUAGACGUGGGAUAUCAAGGCCUCCUUGCCGCUGGGACAAGGAGGCCUUUUGUU
rfam:Clostridiales bacterium PH28_bin88 ph28_547, whole genome shotgun sequence.